rnacentral:rRNA from 1 species
GCGGCAGGCUUAACACAUGCAAGUCGAACGGGCACUUCGGUGCUAGUGGCAGACGGGUGAGUAACACGUGGGAACGUACCUUUUGGUUCGGAAUAAUCCAGGGAAACUUGGACUAAUACCGGAUACGCCCUUCGGGGGAAAGAUUUAUCGCCGAAAGAUCGGCCCGCGUCUGAUUAGCUAGUUGGUGAGGUAAAGGCUCACCAAGGCGACGAUCAGUAGCUGGUCUGAGAGGAUGAUCAGCCACAUUGGGACUGAGACACGGCCCAAACUCCUACGGGAGGCAGCAGUGGGGAAUAUUGGACAAUGGGCGCAAGCCUGAUCCAGCCAUGCCGCGUGAGUGAUGAAGGCCUUAAGGUUGUAAAGCUCUUUUGUCCGGGAAGAUAAUGACUGU